UGCAUAGGGAGCUAUAAAUAGCUUUCACAGUGUCAUUACCAGAACGUGCGGCCGGUAAACAGAGCAGCUGCAGCACCGCUGAGAUGAUAACAAGAAAGGAGGACCUGAGAGUAACACCUUGUGAAGGUUUUUGUGAUAGAUGACAUAAAGAAGAUGACUGCGAGCCUCGUACGGGAAAUUUGUGUUAGCCAUCUGAGCUCUGAGCUCUUAUUGAAAGAAUCACAGGUUUUUCUACAGAUUAGCAGAGGAUGGAGGAUGGAUGAUUACCUCAUGAUGAAAAUAAAGCUUUAAGACAAAUCACUUUCCAGAGCAUCCAGCUGAUGUUUACACUGACGUUAACAACUGCUGCUGGAGGGCAGAGAUCCAGGUGGAAACAAACCUGCUCAUAUUGAGGCAUGUGACUUUUGCAUGUACUUCUGGU